CCAGAGAGAUGGGAAGAAAGAGGGGAGGGGAGGAAGAAGACAACCAGAGGAGGUCAAAGACAGUCAGAUAUCACUUGGAGAUUGAACAUGCACAACCCACUCCCUGCUCUCCCUUACAAGCCUUAAACCUCUGACAUUUGAAGUUGCAGCUGCUGCCUGCGGGGGCCGACAGAGCGGACUCUGGUUCAGGACAGGGGCUCAGAGCUGGACUGGUCUGAGCUACAGGGACACUGGGGCUGCAAGCAGCAUCCUGCACAGGACCAGCUGCAGGCAGUUACAUUCCAGUAAAAUAAAGUAAGUGUUAGUGAAGCUGUUAAGCCAUGUAUGCAACUAUUUACAUGGCAUGUAACAUAAUUUAUUCUGAACAAAUAAAUCAAGCAGUGAUUGCAGGGGAUUAAACUCAUAUGAAGGGGGAGCAGCAACCUGCAGUCGGGCCUGAGAGCCAGUAGAUGGCAGCACAGGAGGACAGAGGAGAACCAGUUUAGAGACGUUGGUGGGAAGAGUGGAAAAGAAAUGAUCCACAUUUUUAUUUAUGUGGAUCCAUUAACACCACAAUGUGUGUUAAUUUUCAAACUAGACACUUCCAGUUGAAUGAUGUAGUGGAAAGACAUGUGGUAUAUUCCUGUAUAACUUUGGUAACUUUUGUUAAUUAUGUCUAUCUUUUAAGUCUAUCCUCAGUGCAACUGUUAGUAAGUUGAAUUUGCAUGAGAACGAGUAAAUCACAACAGACUUCUCUCGCCUCCGGAGGCGAAGCUAGCAAGGUGGUGUCCGCGCCUUCUCCUCUCAUGUUGGAAACAUUCAUCAUUGAGCUGGAAAAUUCCAGGAAAGCAUGACUGCGGAAGUCACCGCCUCUCUGAACGCAGCUACCAAAAUAAUUUAUUCGAAUGCUAGACAAAACAAUUUAAAGGUUUAUUUGGACCGAUAACGACCCAACAGCCGGGCCGGGCGUUGCCUAAACUUUUAUUUUAUUAUUGGGCGGCUAAUCUUCAAAAAAUUCAUGCCUGGCAACCUUGACUGGCGUAUAAUGGAGGACAAUUCUUCCCGCCCAUCAUCUCUGGCGACUUCUUGUCAUCACAAAUACAUUUGAUAUCUAGUUGUACUCUCUUCUUUGAAAAUUUGGAAACAAUUCAGGCAAUAUUUCAAACUUUCUGCCCCCACCCCAUGCAGCCCCAUUUGUAAUAACCACUUGUUUCCUCCCUCUAAUUUAGAUACAGCUUUCACUCUGUGGACAGAAAGAGGCCUGGCUCGUUUCUCAGAUUUAUAUUUAGAGGGCUCAUUUGUCACUUUUAAUGAUCUCAGCGUUAAGUAUAAUUUACCCCAGUCUCAUUUGUCCCGAUAUUUUCAAGCUCGUAAUUAUGCUCGCACAUAUUUUACAUCCUUCCCUAAGCUUCCAGUGGGUUCUCUUGUCGUUGAGGUGCUUUCUCUCCCUAAGGCACGUGGUAUGAUCUCAGAUUUGUAUGACCUCAUAUCAUCCUCGGGUGGGGCCUCUCUUGAGGGGGUUAGGGGUAACUGGGAAAAGGAGCUUGAGCUUGAGGUGACAGACGAAUGGUGGGAAGAGGCACUAAUCAGGAUCAACUCUACACCUUCAUGAGCCCGUCUAAGUUUAAUUCACUUUAAGGUCAUUUUACAAAAGUUAGGCUUAGAAGUUGUUUCCAGGUAUAAGUGAUUUUCUGGUCUUGUAUCUUUAUUAUGUUAGGUGAAGCCCUCAAUAUUAAACUAGAACCCUGCCCCAUCUUUGGAGUAACCCUUAUACCAGCCAGUCUCACAAAGAAAGUUUCUGAUGUUGUUGUUUUUGCCUCAUAGCCCAAAGACGUAUUCUGUUACAGUGGGAAAGCCAAAAUCCACCUUCUGCUACAACCUGGCUGAGUUAUUUAAUGUUUUUUCUGUUGUUAGAAAUGAUGAAAUAUUCCUGAAGAGGUUCAACUGCCGAUUUCUACAAAAGAUGGCAGCCUGUUAUCUCAUAUGUAAACACUCAUACCUCUCUGGACCCAAACUGACUCUCAAUGCAUCCAUUCUUUGAAGUAAGCACCUUGAACAUCCUUUUUAUUGUACUUCCCUCCCUAUUUUAUUUCAUUUUAUUUACUUUUUGUGUGUGUGUUAUUCAUUUUGUUUAGUUUUUUGUAUGUGUGCGUUUUCUUUUCUGUCUCCUUCUGUGAGUUUGGGAUGGUUGGGGGGUCGGAGGAAG